UACGUAGGGGGCAAGCGUUGUCCGGAAUCAUUGGGCGUAAAGAGCGCGUAGGCGGUCCGGUAAGUCCGCUCUGAAAGCCCAGGGCUUAACCCUGGGUCUGCGGUGGGUACGGGCAGACUAGAGUGUGGUAGGGGAGACUGGAAUUCCUGGUGUAGCGGUGAAAUGCGCAGAUAUCAGGAGGAACACCGAUGGCGAAGGCAGGUCUCUGGGCCACUACUGACGCUGAGAAGCGAAAGCAUGGGGAGCGAACAGG
rnacentral:rRNA from 1 species